GAUGAACGCUGGCGGCGUGCCUAAUACAUGCAAGUCGAGCGAACAGAUGAGGAGCUUGCUCCUCUGACGUUAGCGGCGGACGGGUGAGUAACACGUGGAUAACCUACCUAUAAGACUGGGAUAACUUCGGGAAACCGGAACUAAUACCGGAUAAUAUAUUGAACCGCAUGGUUCAAUAGUGAAAGACGGUUUUGCUGUCACUUAUAGAUGGAUCCGCGCCGCAUUAGCUAGUUGGUAAGGUAACGGCUUACCAAGGCAACGAUGCGUAGCCGACCUGAGAGGGUGAUCGGCCACACUGGAACUGAGACACGGUCCAGACUCCUACGGGAGGCAGCAGUAGGGAAUCUUCCGCAAUGGGCGAAAGCCUGACGGAGCAACGCCGCGUGAGUGAUGAAGGUCUUCGGAUCGUAAAACUCUGUUAUUAGGGAAGAACAAAUGUGUAAGUAACUAUGCACGUCUUGACGGUACCUAAUCAGAAAGCCACGGCUAACUACGUG
rnacentral:rRNA from 1 species